AUGUAAGUUUUUGCAUGAAUUUUUGUUUAUUUUAAUAAUAAAUUGAAAUAUAAUAGUAUUCUCAGUAAUUAAUUUUAUAAAUCAAGGAAACUUGGAGGUAGUAAUUUUUAUUUAGUAUUGGCUAAAUUUGUGCCAGCAGCCGCGGUUACACAAAUGAUGCAAAUAAAAUUAUUUUGGUAUGAGUUAAAUUUUAUAUUUAUAAAAUAAACAUGGAUUUAUUAGGUGAAAUUUUAAAUUUAUAAAAAUUUUAUAAUUAAGUUAUUGAAGCUUGUAAAUUUUAAUUAAAAACUAGGAUUAGAUACCCUAUUAUUUAAAAUGUAAUUAUUUAUACUGAGGYAGUAGUAGUUAUGUUCUUGAAACUUAAAAAAUUUGGCGGUAUUUUAGUCUAUUCAGAGGAACCUGUCCUGUWAUUGAUAAUCCACGAUGUACCUCGCUUAAGCUUGUAAUUCAGUUUAUAUACCGUCGUUAUCAGAAUAUUUUACUAGAAUAAUAAUUUUCUGUAAUUUUUAUAAAAAUUUAUAUCAGAUCAAGGUGUAGCUUAUGUUUAAGUAGAGAUGGGUUACAAUAAAUUUAUUUAAAUGGAUUAAAAUUUGAAAUAUUUUAUGAAAGUGGRUUUGAUAGUAAAGUUUUAAAGAUUAAAAAUUUGAUUUUAGCUCUAAAAUAUGUACACAUCGCCCGUCGCUCUUACUAUUAAGGUAAGAUAAGUCGUAACAUAGUAGAUGUA
rnacentral:rRNA from 1 species